CAGCUGAUGACUGUCAAAAACAGACAUGGUUUUGUUUUUAUUCAUAUUUAUAUACAAAAUCGAAUUUGUAAACAAGGUCCUCCAGCUCCUGCUGUGAAUCUGGUACCGAAAAAAUGGGAUUUCGACAACCCAGGGCGCUUCAGCAGCAGCCGAGCCGAGGAUUUCGAGUACUUUUCGCCAUUCUAAUGGGCUAAUGUUAGAAGGACUACCGAUUUAAGAUAGCCAGAGGAAACGACAAGCAAAUUUUCCCCA